rnacentral:pre_miRNA from 1 species
AAAAAGGCAAACCCUGGGUUUUCGUGUCUAACUUUGACUAUCCAUCUUAUAUGAAAUUUUUUUAUAAUUCGUAUUUUCAUUGUUGUUAGAUGAUAAAACAUGAUUAAUAUUUUAUGCGUGACUUGUCUUUUUAAUUUUUUUCAUAAUUUUUUCAAAUAAGACGGAUAGUCAAAUGUUGGACACGGAAAUCAGGGUUUAUCUUUAU